CGGGGCCAGGCGCGGUUCGGGGCUCUGGGGCCGCCCCCCCCCCUCACCCCCGGUGGCUCCGGUCCCCGCCGCGCACAAAAUGGACCCGAGCCCCGAGCCCGGCUCCAGCGGCGCCGCCAGCGCGGACGCCGAGGCGCCUUCCACCUCCGCCGCGGCGGCCUCCGCACAAGAGCCCGGCGCCGAGGAGAAAAAGGAUCCUCCAUUUCAACUCAAACUUCCUCCAAAGGCAGCUAGGCCUGAGAAAGAAGUUGACCCCGAAUAUGAAGAGAAGAUGAAAACAGAUCGAGCAAAAAGAUUUGAAUUCCUUCUGAAGCAGACAGAACUUUUUGCACAUUUUAUUCAGCCUGCAGCACAAAAAUCACCAACAUCUCCAUUGAAAGUCAAGCUGGGACGGCCACGGAUGAAGAAAGAUGAAAAGCAGUGUUUGAUUUCAGCUGGCGACUACCGUCACAGGCGCACUGAACAAGAAGAAGAUGAGGAGCUGCUGUCAGAGAGCAGGAAAACAUCCAAUGUCUGUAUUCGGUUUGAGGAGUCUCCUUCAUAUGUGAAAGGAGGAACACUAAGAGAUUAUCAGGUUAGAGGUUUGAACUGGAUGAUCUCAUUGUAUGAGAAUGGUGUUAAUGGCAUUCUGGCAGAUGAAAUGGGGCUUGGUAAGACUCUGCAAACAAUAGCAUUAUUAGGCUACCUGAAGCAUUACCGAAACAUUCCUGGGCCACACAUGGUCCUGGUUCCAAAGUCAACUUUGCACAACUGGAUGAAUGAAUUCAAGCGCUGGGUUCCAUCCUUACGUGCUGUUUGUCUUAUUGGAGACAAAGAUGCCAGAGCUGCUUUUAUCCGUGAUGUCAUGAUGCCUGGUGAAUGGGAUGUUUGUGUUACAUCAUAUGAAAUGGUAAUUAAAGAGAAAUCUGUCUUCAAAAAGUUUAACUGGAGGUACCUGGUAAUUGAUGAAGCCCACAGAAUAAAGAAUGAGAAGUCUAAGCUGUCAGAGAUUGUACGUGAGUUCAAGACAACAAAUCGAUUGCUGCUCACAGGAACUCCUUUACAGAAUAACCUCCAUGAGCUCUGGGCAUUACUCAAUUUUCUUUUACCUGAUGUCUUCAAUUCUGCUGAUGAUUUCGACUCAUGGUUUGACACAAAAAAUUGUCUUGGUGAUCAGAAACUUGUGGAAAGACUUCAUGCUGUUUUGAAGCCAUUUUUAUUACGUCGCAUAAAAGCUGAAGUAGAAAAGAGUUUGCCUCCAAAGAAGGAAGUAAAAAUUUAUCUUGGGCUCAGCAAAAUGCAGAGGGAAUGGUAUACGAGGAUCCUGAUGAAAGAUAUUGAUAUCCUGAAUUCAGCUGGGAAGAUGGACAAGAUGCGUCUGCUGAACAUCCUGAUGCAGCUGCGGAAGUGCUGUAACCAUCCUUACCUGUUUGAUGGUGCUGAGCCAGGCCCUCCUUACACCACUGACACACAUCUCAUCACCAACAGUGGUAAAAUGUUAGUUCUGGAUAAACUGCUGGCAAAACUUCGAGAGCAAGGUUCCAGAGUGUUGCUUUUCAGUCAGAUGACUCGCUUGCUGGAUAUUUUGGAAGACUAUUGCAUGUGGCGUGGAUACGAGUACUGCAGACUUGAUGGACAGACACCACAUGAAGAAAGAGAGGAAGCAAUAGACACAUUUAAUGCUCCCAACAGCAGUAAAUUCAUUUUCAUGCUGAGUACCAGAGCUGGAGGUCUUGGAAUUAAUUUGGCAACUGCUGAUGUGGUUAUUCUCUAUGAUUCAGAUUGGAACCCUCAAGUAGAUCUGCAGGCCAUGGAUCGUGCUCAUCGUAUUGGUCAAAAGAAACCAGUCCGGGUGUUUCGCCUUAUCACUGAUAAUACUGUUGAAGAGAGGAUUGUAGAAAGAGCUGAAAUAAAACUGAGGCUGGACUCUAUAGUUAUACAACAAGGAAGGCUCAUAGACCAACAGUCUAACAAACUGGCAAAAGAUGAAAUGCUGCAGAUGAUCCGUCACGGUGCCACACACGUGUUUGCCUCCAAAGACAGUGAGCUGACAGAGGAAGAUAUAACCACUAUAUUAGAAAGAGGUGAAAAGAAGACAGCUGAAAUGAAUGAAAGAUUGCAAAAAAUGGGGGAGAGCUCCUUGAGGAAUUUCACUAUGGACACAGAGAUGAGCUUAUACAACUUUGAAGGUGAAGACUACAGAGAAAAACAAAAGCUGAGCAUGAUGGAAUGGAUAGAGCCCCCAAAAAGAGAACGCAAAGCUAAUUAUGCAGUUGAUGCCUAUUUCAGAGAAGCCCUACGUGUUAGUGAACCCAAAGUCCCAAAGGCUCCACGACCUCCAAAACAACCCAAUAUUCAGGAUUUCCAGUUUUUCCCACCACGGUUGUUUGAACUUCUGGAAAAAGAAAUCCUGUAUUAUCGUAAGACUAUAGGAUACAAGGUUCCCAGGAAUCCUGAUCUCCCAAAUGCAGCUCAGGUACAAAAAGAGGAACAGAAAAAGAUAGAUGAGUCUAUGCCUCUGAAUACUGAGGAAACUGAAGAGAAGGAAAAGCUUCUGACACAGGGCUUUACAAACUGGAAUAAGAGAGAUUUUAACCAGUUUAUUAAGGCUAAUGAGAAAUAUGGUCGUGACGAUAUCGACAAUAUUGCCCGGGAGGUGGAGGGAAAGUCACCUGAAGAGGUCAUUGAGUAUUCAGCUGUUUUCUGGGAACGCUGUAAUGAACUCCAGGACAUUGAGAGGAUCAUGGCUCAAAUAGAAAGAGGAGAGGCAAGAAUUCAGCGGAGGAUCAGUAUCAAGAAGGCCCUUGAUGCCAAAAUUGCAAGGUACAAAGCACCUUUUCAUCAGCUGCGUAUUCAGUAUGGAACAAACAAAGGGAAGAAUUACACAGAAGAGGAAGACAGAUUUUUGAUUUGCAUGUUGCACAAGAUGGGCUUUGACAAGGAAAAUGUUUAUGAGGAGCUAAGGCAGUGUGUGCGCAAUGCCCCUCAGUUCAGAUUUGACUGGUUUAUCAAAUCCAGAACUGCAAUGGAGUUCCAGAGACGGUGCAAUACUCUCAUAUCAUUAAUAGAAAAAGAAAAUAUGGAAAUUGAGGAAAAAGAAAGAGCUGAAAAGAAGAAAAGAGGAGCAAAAGUUACAGCAUCACAGAAGAGAAAAGCAGAUUUGGCUGCUGAGAACUCUGGAAAAAAAGAUGCUAAGAAAGUGAAGUCAUGAAACCUGAAUGCUAAGUGUAGAACUGCCACUUUCUUCUCACCAUCUACAAGUAUGAAUUGCCAACUUAUUUGUAUUCAUGUGAUGUGCUGUGCUAACUGUAUAGCAGAAGAUGAUGCAAUUGUUCUUCUAGAUACUGCCCUCUUCAUCAGAUAGCUGUUCUGAGGCAUGAUGGAUGCUCCCAGGAACUACCUGUUAUCUCUUACAGUCUGUAGUUCCUGGUUCAGCUGAAUGUGCUGUUGAACAACAGUCCUUGAGAGAACUUGUGUACUGUGUACCAGCUCCUCAGCAUAUUGAGUCUUCCCAUCCAUCAUGUCCCACAGUGAUAACUGAAGAAAAUUGCCACUAGCUGCUGGUCAGGAUUUAAAGUAAAAUGGGUCUUUGUUUUCCUUUUUUUGUUCUGCCAGUUGCAGAUGCACACACUGUGUGUGCCUAGCUGUAUCUAAAUGAUGUGCUGCUGUGACAUAAAAUUAGAUGGACUGAAAUAAAGGAAUCUUCCUCUUAACUACUAUUUCCUUAGGUGUUUGUAAGGUAUCUGUAAGCACUGAAUGUAACACAGUACAAAACUUCUGGAAAGUCUGAGCCUUCAGGCAAUUUGAUAGUUAUAAAAAAAAAAGUGAUAUAAAAUUUUGAAAAGAAUUGACUGGUUCCUUUUGAGUAGACAAUUUAAAUUUGAUUGGUAACCAUUAGGCUUGAAGAAAGAAAAAAUAGUCAUCUAGCACCUUUCACAUAUCAAGCAGUGCAUGUAACAUCCUGGAAGAGGUUGCAACAGUUGUGUUCUUCUAUUCACAUAUUCAUCACCUUCAAAUUAUCAUCAUCCCUUUUUAUUUUUGAUCUGUGUUAGUGAUGAGAAAGUCAUGCAGUUGACCAUCUUCAUUAUAUUUAAUUUCAAUUUGUUAUGGUGAUGUAGAGAAGGAAUGAAGAUUUCUUCCUGCUGGUACUAUUAAGACUCUCCUUAGAUAUUGUUUGCACAAGUAGAAUUGCUAUCCUAAAAUACUAAGAAUUUUUUUCUUGUAGAUUAGCAUUGCUUGUUUGAUGUAGUGCUAAUGCUGGUUCUUGAAAAAGCCCCAGCUUUAACUCUGAGAUCAUGAGCAAGGAAUACAGUAUAUGGAAAUAAAUCUUCAUAAAUACCUAAUGGAAGUAAUUUCUGCUAGGCAGCUCCUGCAGCAUCUGCAUUUCCUGCUGUGCACUGUUAUGAUACAGAUGCUCUCUGUGCAUGCCUCUUCCUCAACUUCAGUGGAGGGAUAAGGGACUUUCAGUGAUGACAAAUUAAUGCCAAAGUUUAAAAACGUGGGCUUUACAGGCUGAAAAAGCAGGUGGAAUUGUGUGGUCAGCAGUGGUUUCUGGGAAUGUAAAAUGUGGUUGGUGCAGCCAUUGGCACUUGUGGUGUGGGCAGGGGUUGGUCACUGACUGUAGUUCUGAUCUGGUUAAGGUAGCUUGACAGUUAUAUUUUGCUUUAAGUUUAUCCAGUCCAUGUACUUAUUGUCAAGCAUGUAUGUAAAUGCUUUGGUGGGUCACAGUUACAAUCUUUGGUAUGUUCUUUUCAUGGAAGAAAUAAAGUUGAACUUGGUUUGCAUAUUUUGCAAUGUAAUGUUCUCUUAAUUGCAUUUGCAUGAUAUCCAUCCUUUCAUAAGAGCCUUAAUAGGAUUAAUAUUUGCUGCCUCAAAGGUAUGGCUAUGUUGUGUUGUUGAAAGAUAACUUCUGAAGUUUUUCAAAUUAAGAUUUGUUUCUUAAGUUGUACAUAUAUGAAAAUAAAAAUUAAUACGAACCUGAUGUGUUCUGGUAAUUAUAUUUCAUGGCUUAUGCAUAAAAUAGUUUGAUUUGUUUUCAUUGCUCUUGGAGCUCUUGUGAUCCU